rnacentral:rRNA from 1 species
UACGUAGGGUGCAAGCGUUGUCCGGAAUUAUUGGGCGUAAAGAGCUCGUAGGCGGUCUGUCGCGUCGGCUGUGAAAACCUGGGGCUUAACUCCGGGCCUGCAGCCGAUACGGGCAGACUAGAGUUCGGCAGGGGAGACUGGAAUUCCUGGUGUAGCGGUGAAAUGCGCAGAUAUCAGGAGGAACACCGGUGGCGAAGGCGGCAUCCUGGACCGACAUUGACGCUGAGGCGCGAAAGCCAGGGGAGCAAACGGG